rnacentral:lncRNA from 10 species
CUCAGCUGGAAGACCGGAAGACUGGAGGGCUGACGUUACCUGCAGGCUUCAUGGAGGCUGGAGGCUUGGUUUCCCAGAUGGCUCACUCACACGGCAGACUUUGUGCUCCAUCAGUUGAAGAGUAGGAUGAAGAAAAAAAAAAAAGGUUACAUGAAGAUGAUGGAAUUAUAAUCAGGCCUUGAAGAACGGAGACAAUUCCAGCCAUUGUUGUAGAUGUGGAGGCUGAAGGACAUUCCAAUUUGAAGGAACAGAAGAUGGGAUCUCACUCUGCUGCCCAGGCUGGUCUCCUCCUGCCUUGGCCUCCCAAAGUGUUGGAAUUACAAGUGUGAGCCACUGUGCCUGGCCCUGAAUAAGUUUCUUGACCCAGAGUUCCUGAAGAGGAGGAUGGGAACCUUGGAGGCUGUUUCUCCAGGCUGUGGAGUCGAGGUUUCCCCAUGU